rnacentral:rRNA from 1 species
CCUACGGGAGGCAGCAGUGGGGAAUAUUGCACAAUGGGGGAAACCCUGAUGCAGCGACGCCGCGUGAGUGAAGAAGGAUUUCGGUAUGUAAAGCUCUAUCAGCAGGGAAGAAGAAAGACGGUACCUGACUAAGAAGCCCCGGCUAAAUACGUGCCAGCAGUCGCGGGAAUACGUAGGGGGCAAUCGUUAUCCGGAUUUACUGGGUGUAAAGGGAGCGUAGACGGGUGUGCAAGUCUGAAGUGAAAGCCCAGGGCUCAAACCUGGGACUGCUGUGGAAACUGUGGAGCUAGAGUGCUGGAGAGGUAAGUGGAAUUCCUAGUGUAGCGGUGAAAUGCGUAGAUAUUAGGAGGAACACCAGUGGCGAAGGCGGCUUACUGGACAGUAACUGACGUUGAGGCUCGAAAGCGUGGGGAGCAAACAGGAUUAGAUACCCGAGUAGUC